rnacentral:rRNA from 1 species
ACGGUAGAGGGGGCAACCCCUUGAGAGUGGCGAACGGGUGAGUAAUGUAUCGGAACGUGCCCAGUCGUGGGGGAUAACGUAGUGAAAAUUACGCUAAUACCGCAUACGAUCUAUGGAUGAAAGCGGGGGAUCGCAAGACCUCGCGCGAUUGGAGCGGCCGAUAUCAGAUUAGGUAGUUGGUGGGGUAAAGGCUCACCAAGCCAACGAUCUGUAGCUGGUCUGAGAGGACGACCAGCCACACUGGAACUGAGACACGGUCCAGACUCCUACGGGAGGCAGCAGUGGGGAAUUUUGGACAAUGGACGCAAGUCUGAUCCAGCCAUUCCGCGUGCAGGACGAAGGCCUUCGGGUUGUAAACUGCUUUUGUACGGAACGAAAAAGCUCUUAUUAAUACUAGGAGUCCAUGACGGUACCGUAAGAAUAAGCACCGGCUAACUACGUGCCAGCAGCCGCGGUAAUACGUAGGGUGCAAGCGUUAAUCGGAAUUACUGGGCGUAAAGCGUGCGCAGGCGGUUAUAUAAGACAGAUGUGAAAUCCCCGAGCUUAACUUGGGAACUGCAUUUGUGACUGUAUAGCUAGAGUACGGCAGAGGGGGAUGGAAUUCCGCGUGUAGCAGUGAAAUGCGUAGAUAUGCGGAGGAACACCGAUGGCGAAGGCAAUCCCCUGGGCCUGUACUGACGCUCAUGCACGAAAGCGUGGGGAGCAAACAGGAUUAGAUACCCUGGUAGUCCACGCCCUAAACGAUGUCAACUGGUUGUUGGGUCUUCACUGACUCAGUAACGAAGCUAACGCGUGAAGUUGACCGCCUGGGGAGUACGGCCG